rnacentral:misc_RNA from 1 species
AGGCCGGCCGCCAUGCCGGCGAGGUUCUGCUCCGCGACUCCGACAUUGAUGUAACGAUCUGGAUGGUGCGUGGCGAAUUGUUCGAGCACCGAAUAGCCGAGAUCNNNNNNNNNNNNGAUAUCAGGAUUGCGAUCGGCGAGUUCGGUCAGCGUCUUGAUGAAUGUGGUUCUCACAGCUUGAGCUCCGCGAGUGCCUGCUGGAGCUGCUCAUCGCUCGGCGACUUGUAGUGCCAUUCGAGCUUGUCUUCCAUGUAGCUCACGCCUUUGCCCUUGAUGGUAUGCGCGAUCACCACGGUGGGCUGUCCGAGCUUGGCGGGCUCGGCGAACGUGCGCGACAACGCGUCGACGUCGUGUCCAUCAACCUCGACAACGUUCCAGCGGAAGGCGCGCCACUUGUCGGCGAAAGGCUCGAGCUCCAGCACCUCCGAUACUCGGCCGAAGCUUUGUAUUUUGUUGAAGUCCACGAUCGCGACAAGAUUGUCGAGUUUGUGGUGUGGGGCGAACAGGAUUGCUUCCCAGUUCGAGCCUUCGUCGCUCGCCAUCGCUGAGAAGGCAGAACACGCGCGCACCGGACGCUUGCGCGCGCACGCCGAGGGCUAUGCCAACUGCGAUUGGCAGUCCAUGGCCCAG